rnacentral:rRNA from 1 species
GACGAACGCUGGCGGCGUGCCUAAUACAUGCAAGUAGAACGCUGAAGGAGGAGCUUGCUCUUCUGGAUGAGUUGCGAACGGGUGAGUAACGCGUAGGUAACCUGCCUGGUAGCGGGGGAUAACUAUUGGAAACGAUAGCUAAUACCGCAUAACAGUAGAUGUUGCAUGACAUUUACUUAAAAGGUGCAAUUGCAUCACUACCAGAUGGACCUGCGUUGUAUUAGCUAGUUGGUGGGGUAACGGCUCACCAAGGCGACGAUACAUAGCCGACCUGAGAGGAGGAGCAGGCACAUGGGAACGGGUACACGGACCAGACGCCUACGGGAGGCGGCAGUGGGGAAUAUUGGACAAGGUGCGAAAGCCGGAUCCAGCCAUGCCGAGGGGGUGAAGAAGGUCUUCGGAUGGGAAAGCACGUUAAGUGGGGAGGAAGGGCAGGAAGUUAAUACCUUGCUGUUGUGACGGUACCAACAGAGAAAGCACCGGCUAACUACGUG